rnacentral:lncRNA from 1 species
AACACAAGUUCAGCAGCUCGCAGCGCCAGUGGGAGAAUAUGCAUUCACCCUUUAAAAUGAGUAGAGGAUGUCAGGCACAAUUUACCAACUGGGUGCAGCAGACACCAGGCUGGCUCCUGAACUUCUCUCCUCCAAUUAAGCUGCACAACCUGUUACCAUUUUACCAAUGGAUUCUAUUCACUUAGGUUCUGCAUAACUUGCCAAGUGCUCACUCUGUGG